CAAAACUCCAGUGCAGCCUCCUCGACGCCUGUCAGCAGGGCUGGGGAGGGGGUUCAAGGCACCAUUUGGUUGGGGCCUCAUAUUUAGGAAAAGCCUCAAAUGUAGAUUUUCAAGAUUCUCUGGUAUUCUCUCCAAAGGAGGUUAUGUAUACGGCAAUUGUAUUCUGGUUUUUUUUUUUGGAUUUUUUGGCCGUGCCCCGAGGCAUGUGGGAUCCUUGUUCCCUGACCAGGGAUCAGACUUGCACUCCCUGUAUUGGAAGCACGGAGUUUUAGCCACCAGACCACCAGGGAAGUCCUACUCUCCUUGUUUGUGUCCGUGUGUCCAGCUGCACUAAAACAGUGUUAACUUUCCCAUGGGCAUCAGCUCUGACACCGUGUCCUGCUCACGAGCCCCAGGGCUUAUGGGAAGCAGGCUUUUGCAGCAGAGCAAGUCACCAAAAGAGUUAGCAAUUCACCGAAAGAAGCAAUAACAAUGGCCAAGGUGUGAUGAAUGCUUCCUCUAUGCAAAACAAGGCUGCAGCCAGGAAUAUUGUUAAGGAUAUUACCCACCAUGUUGCCUGUCUUCCUCAUGAAGACCUGUGGGGAGACUUUCUUUUUAACCUCUGAAUUUGGAAAAGUCUAUCCUCCAGAGGAGAAGGAGGAGAAGGGGAUGACAGAGGAUGAGAUGGUUGGAUGGCAUCACCGACUCGAUGGAAAUGAGUUCGAGCAAACACUGGGAGAUGAUGAAGGACAGGAAAGCCUGGCGUGUUGCAGUCCAUGGUGUCACAAAGCAUUGGACGUGACUGACCAAGUGAACAACAACAAAUCCUCCAGUUAUCGUUACAAAACACUGGCUACAUCCCCCGUGCUGAACAAUGGAUCUUUCUAGCUUAUUUAAUUACCCAAUAGUUUGUAACUCUCACUCUCCUUCCCGCGUGAUGCCCCUCCCCCGCUUCCCUCUCUCAACUGGUAACCACUGGUUUGUCCUCUAUGUUUGUGAGUCUGCUUCCUUUUUGUUAUAUUCACUAAUUUAUAUGUUUUUAGAUUCCACAUGUAAGUGAUAUUCUAUUGGUGUUAUUUUUUAAAGAGAAAAAACUCAACAGAAAAAAUUAAGUCAGGAAGCCGAGUGCCAAGCAAAUAGCUGUUUAGUAAAUGCAAGGUCCUCUUGCAUUCCCUAACCCUCCUUCAAGAACGGAUUCUGAAUACUCUAGAAGCCCUUCCAGGCUCCCAUUUGAGUGGGUUGCCCUUCCCCAUGGCACUUUGCACAUUUAUUUCAUUCUAUCUUUCAAAAUAUUUAGCCCUUCCCAUGCUUGUCUUACCCACUAGAAGAUAGUCCCUGCUGUCAAUCUAGUUGCAUAAAGUUGAAAGUGAAAGUGUUGGUUGCUCAGUCGUGUCCGUCUGUUUGCGACCCCAUAGACUGUAGACUGCUCCUCUGUCCUCGGACUUCUCCAGGCAAGGAUACGGGAAUGGGUUGCCAUUCUCUUCUCCAGGGGAUCUUCCUGACCAUAAACACAAUAUAAAUAAAAAGGAACUGUUUUCCA
ensembl:lncRNA